UACAGAGGUCCCGAGCGUUGUUCGGAUUCAUUGGGCGUAAAGGGUGCGUAGGCGGCGCGGUAAGUCGGGUGUGAAAUUUCGAGGCUUAACUUCGAAACUGCAUUCGAUACUGCCGUGCUUGAGGACUGGAGAGGAGACUGGAAUUUACGGUGUAGCGGUGAAAUGCGUAGAUAUCGUAAGGAAGACCAGUGGCGAAGGCGGGUCUCUGGACAGUUCCUGACGCUGAGGCACGAAGGCCAGGGGAGCAAACGGG
rnacentral:rRNA from 1 species